rnacentral:rRNA from 1 species
AGCAGCCGCGGUAAUUCCAGCUCCAAUAGCGUAUAUUAAAGUUGUUGCAGUUAAAAAGCUCGUAGUUGAAUUUCGGGAUCAGUACGCUGGUCGUGCCUUCGGUAUGUACUGGUGUUACUGGUUCCUACCUUCUGACGAACCGUCAUGUCAUUAAUUUGGUGUGGCGGGAAAUCAGGACUGUUACUUUGAAAAAUUAGAGUGUUUAAAGCAGGCUCGCGCUUGAAUACAUUAGCAUGGAAUAAUGAAAUAGGACGUUCGAUCCUAUUUUGUUGGUUUCUAGGAUUGACGUAAUGAUUAAUAGGGAUAGUUGGGGGCAUUAGUAUUCAAUUGUCAGAGGUGAAAUUCUUGGAUUUAUUGAAGACUAACUACUGCGAAAGCAUUUGCCAAGGAUGUUUUCAUUAAUCAAGAACGAAAGUUAGGGGAUCGAAGACGAUCAGAUACCGUCGUAGU